ACGAAGGGUGCAAGCGUUAAUCGGAAUUACUGGGCGUAAAGGGUGCGUAGGUGGCAUGGUAAGUCGGAUGUGAAAUCCCGGGGCUCAACCCCGGAACUGCAUUCGAUACUGCUGCGCUAGAGUACUGGAGAGGAGAUUGGAAUUUACGGUGUAGCAGUGGAAUGCGUAGAGAUCGGGAAGAAUACCCGUGGCGAAGGCGGCCAGCUGGGCCAGGUCCGACACUGAGGCGCGAAAGCGUGGGGAGCAAACAGGA
rnacentral:rRNA from 1 species